rnacentral:rRNA from 1 species
AGUGAACGCUGGCGGUAGGCCUAACACAUGCAAGUCGAACGGCAGCACAGUAAGAGCUUGCUCUUACGGGUGGCGAGUGGCGGACGGGUGAGGAAUACAUCGGAAUCUACUUUUUCGUGGGGGAUAACGUAGGGAAACUUACGCUAAUACCGCAUACGACCUACGGGUGGAAGCAGGGGAUCUUCGGACCUUGCGCGAUUGAAUGAGCCGAUGUCGGAUUAGCUAGUUGGCGGGGUAAAGGCCCACCAAGGCGACGAUCCGUAGCUGGUCUGAGAGGAUGAUCAGCCACACUGGAACUGAGACACGGUCCAGACUCCUACGGAAGGCAGCAGUGGGGAAUAUUGGACAAUGGGCGCAAGCCUGAUCCAGCCAUACCGCGUGGGUGAAGAAGGCCUUCGGGUUGUAAAGCCCUUUUGUUGGGAAAGAAAAGCAGCAGGUUAAUACCCCGCUGUUCUGACGGUACCCAAAGAAUAAGCACCGGCUAACUUCGUG